rnacentral:piRNA from 1 species
UGCAUAUUCAGAGAGCUGUGCAGCCA